rnacentral:rRNA from 1 species
ACGGAAGGCAGCAGUGGGGAAUAUUGCACAAUGGGCGAAAGCCUGAUGCAGCGACGCCGCGUGAGCGAAGAAGUAUUUCGGUAUGUAAAGCUCUAUCAGCAGGGAAGAUAAUGACGGUACCUGACUAAGAAGCACCGGCUAAAUACGUGCCAGCAGCCGCGGUAAUACGUAUGGUGCAAGCGUUAUCCGGAUUUACUGGGUGUAAAGGGAGCGUAGGCGGUUUUACAAGUCUGAUGUGAAAGCCCGGGGCCCAACUCCGGUAUUGCAUUGGAAACUGUAGAACUAGAGUGUCGGAGGGGUAAGUGGAAUUCCUAGUGUAGCGGUGAAAUGCGUAGAUAUUAGGAGGAACACCAGUGGCGAAGGCGGCUUACUGGACGAUUACUGACGCUGAGGCUCGAAAGCGUGGGGAGCAAACAGGAUUAGAUACCCUGGUA